rnacentral:tmRNA from 1 species
GGGCGAGUUCCAGAUUCGAUUGCGGGCGGAGAAUGAGAAAAGCAUACCAAAGGUCCGGCUUUGUAAAAACGGAAACUUAAAUUUAAACGCAGAAUCUAACGAUUCCAAAGUCGUAGCUUUCCCCGCUCAGAGAGCGGCAAGCUUGGCUUGCGCAGCGUAACUUACGCUGUCCGUCGCUUUACGGUUUACCGUUGACCGUUUUGCGGCGUUAAUCUAACGGUAACUCUUUAACGCUUUUACCGCGGCGUUAAACCGUAUUUUGCGGUAUGCAUCCGUACACGCCCGUCCGUCGGCGUUUGCGGACUAAGAUAACGGCGGAAUAAGUAUGUAGAAAGCUCAAACUAAACUCGUAAGACUCGGGUGCAAGUCCCGACUCGUCCACCA